GACGUAGGAUGCAAGCGUUGUCCGGAUUUAUUGGGCGUAAAGAGUUCGUAGGCGGUUUGUUAAGUCUGAUGUUAAAGACUGGGGCUCAACCCUGGAAGUGCAUUGGAUACUGGCAGACUGGAGUGCAGUAGAGGCGAGUGGAAUUCUCGGUGUAGCGGUGAAAUGCGUAGAUAUCGAGAGGAACACCUGCGGCGAAGGCGGGUUGCUGGGCCGACACUGACGCUGAGGCGCGAAAGCCAGGGGAGCGAACGGG
rnacentral:rRNA from 1 species